UCUGCCUGUGAUUAAACCUUGCACGUCAGUCCGAUCCCAUUCUCAGUAGAUCUGAGAGGACAACCUGGUCUGAUUUGUUCCUCCGCAGUUCUUUGGAGAUCUAGUGAUAUUUCACUGCUUUCUGAGGAAGA
rnacentral:snoRNA from 1 species